rnacentral:lncRNA from 1 species
ACAACUUAUCCUACACUCUAUGAAAAACAUGCACUAAAGUGUCUUAUAAUGCAAGAGAAUUCUUUCCAAAUGAGGCAUAUUAAAUAUAUGAAGAGAUCAUGGACGGAUACACAAGAUUAAGGAUGGAUCCAUAAUAUCAUGGAUGGAUUCUAUUUCAUAAGGAAUCAAAAUAUAUUCAUUAAAUUAAGUGAUCUUCAAUAUAUU